UACGAGGGGGGCAAAUGUUGUUCGGAAUCACUGGGCGUAAAGGGUGCGUAGGCGGACUGUUAAGUCGGGGGUGAAAUCCUGGGGCUCAACCCCAGAACUGCCCUCGAUACUGGCGGUCUUGAGUGUGGAAGAGGUUGGUGGAACUCCGAGUGUAGAGGUGAAAUUCGUAGAUAUUCGGAAGAACACCAGUGGCGAAGGCGGCCAACUGGUCCAUUACUGACGCUGAGGUGCGAAAGCGUGGGGAGCAAACAGGAUUGAGAAACCCGU
rnacentral:rRNA from 1 species